rnacentral:sRNA from 1 species
AGAGAAGUUUGAGAACCUUAAGUAUUAAUCUAUGAUUUGAACACGAAAAGACUUGUCUCUCAAACAAAACAAGAAAAUAUUUUCCUAUUUUGAAAAUUUUUGAGUGCUAAUCAUGGCGAUCUCUCACGUUCAUCUUUUUCUUCUCCUCAUCCUAUCACUCUUCUUAUUACCUACUUUGCGGGCCAUCGAUUAUUCUGACUGCGGUGAUGUAAGUUCUCCUGUUGAAGUCACUAGUGUGGAGGAGAUACUUAAGGAUAAGGACAAGGCAAGCUUUAAAAUAUCCGGUUCAACAAGUAAAAAUAUCACUGGAGGAGAUAUUUACGUGGAUGUUAAAGAGGCCUGAUUCGUUACUCUACUAGCAACUACGACUUAUGUGCAUGUAUGGCAUGCCCUGUUGCACCUGGUGCCUUCGUGCUUCCCCUAGACAAUCUUUUUCGUUCAUAUCCAAUGGUUAAUUUUCUUACAUUUAUUUUCUCGUAAUUGUUAAUAUUGCGUGAUAAAAGAUUAGGUACUGCAUAUGAAUUUUUGUUGCACGUAUAAUAAAUAUAAAUAAGAUAAAAUUAUUUUUAAAGGAAAAUAAAAUGAUGAGAACUAUUGGUCCAAUUGUUAAAAGACCCAUCAUAGGGUUAGAGGACUAGAGUUCGAAUCUUUCCACAGAAAAUGACAAGAAUAUUCGAUGUUCCACUUGCUCCAAAAUUGGUUUGGGGUUCGGUUCGAGAUCUCUCGGUCAUAAAAAAAAAACUAGGAAUGAUGUGUUCCACAAGGAAAAAACACAACAUCAAAUGUAUCUAUCACUUGUGUUCUUUUUGUUUUGGGUCAACCAAUUGUGCUUUCUAUCAUCAAAUUUCAACAGUUAGUUAGGUUUAUUCCACUUCCAUUGAAUAUAAUUUUGAAGAUCAAGCUCCUAGCCUGAGGCGGCGCAGUUGGAAAGCAUGUUACAACUACAAGAUUGGAGAUUGAAUUUCAACUAGGUGACAUUCAAGGUUCAAUUAAAUAUUUUUGACGACUCUAAAGAUGUGAAUGAAAUAAUGUGCCUCACUUUCAGGUACAAGACUAAACGUUCCUUCGCGGUCUCUGGUUAAUCAAGUUGCCGGAUGAAAAAAUGUUCUCAAGUAUGAUCUCUUUAUAUUGUAUGAUAAACUUGCAUUAUGUAUGUUUUUUUCUUCUUCCCUUUUGUGUGGUAACCAAGAAACAAAAUAAGUGUUUGUAUAUAGUUCUUUAAUUUCGUUUGAUUUCUUUCAACCGGUGAUAAUAAGGUAAAAAAUCUAGACGCUUUCCUAGUAUAAAGCUCCAAGUUGCUAUGAAUAUGACUCAGAAUUGACUGGGA